CCUACGGGCGGCAGCAGUAGGGAAUAUUGCUCAAUGGGGGAAACCCUGAAGCAGCAACGCAGCGUGGAGGAUGAAGGUUUUCGGAUUGUAAACUCCUUUUGUUAGAGAAGAUAAUGACGGUAUGUAACGAAUAAGCACCGGCUAACACCGUGCCAGCAGCCGCGGUAAUACGGAGGGUGCAAGCGUUACUCGGAAUCACUGGGCGUAAAGAGCGCGUAGGCGGGAUAGCAAGUCAGAUGUGAAAUCUUAUGGCUUAACCAUAGAACUGCAUUUGAAACUGGUAUUCUGGAGUAUGGGAGAGGUAGGUGGAAUUCGUGGUGUAGGGGUAAAAUCCGUAGAGAUCAAGAGGAAUACUCAUUGCGAAGGCGACCUGCUAGAACAUAACUGACGCUGAUGCGCGAAAGCGUGGGGAGCAAACAGGAUUAGAUACCCCUGUAGUC
rnacentral:rRNA from 1 species